UUCCUACGGGAGGCAGCAGUGAGGAAUAUUGGUCAAUGGGCGGGAGCCUGAACCAGCCAAGUCGCGUGAGGGAAGACGGUCCUACGGAUUGUAAGCCUCUUUUGCCGGGGAGCAACGGGGUCCUUGCGAGGGCCCAAUGAGAGUACCCGGAGAAAAAGCAUCGGCUAACUCCGUGCCAGCAGCCGCGGUAAUACGGAGGAUGCGAGCGUUAUCCGGAUUUAUUGGGUUUAAAGGGUGCGUAGGCGGACAGUCAAGUCAGCGGUAAAAAUGCGGUGCUCAACGCCGUACAGCCGUUGAAACUGGCA
rnacentral:rRNA from 1 species